GGAAAAAAAGAGAAGAGAGCGAGGGGGAAGGGGCCGGACUGUAUGGGCUGCGUUCAACAACAAAAGGAAAGAGUGGAGCGGCCAAACUCUAUUCAGAGAAGGAGGAGAAUGGGUCUGCUCUGCAUGGACGAGCAGCUGACAACCAAUCAAAUAAGAAAGAGGACUGAUGCCCCUUGAUUAUGUAGAAGCCCAGAACUAUGGCCAGGUACCGGGAUGGAGAUAUAGAGCGGGAGCAGAUCUGGAACUAGCCUGUGAAUGUAUGCCUUUCCUGACGUCUCCCCUGGAAUGAAUUGCUCGACGAGCAGGUGCCAAGCCGUUGCUAUGUUCACCAUACACUCUGAUCAAAAGCCUCAUGGACGUUCUUUUGACUUAAGCUUGUUGAAAAGGGGACGCCCCUCGCCGCCUCUGCUGUUUGUUUGAGAGUGUAUGAAGGAGAAGAAAAGAGCGAACAUUUUGAAAACAAGUGUUUCAUCAUUAAUACAAGCAGACUGAUUAAAAAACUGAACUUUGGCCUUGACACUUUGUAAUACUGCAGUGAACCACACUGAAUGGAUCUGAAAUUGAAAGCGAAUGAGUUAA